AGCGCAGCCCACCCUGCACAGGAAGGAAGCGGAGGGGAGGCGAUUCUGGAGAAGUUAAAGGGCUCACCUUUGGACGCCGGGCCAGCAAGGCCAGACACCAAACACCCACCUCCGGGAGGAACCAGCAGAGCCGAAACCGGCUCUCCCCGCCUUUCCGAUAGGGCGGAGGGAGGUGAGAGAAGGGAGCGCGCGCGAGGGGUUCAGGAGCCAGGAAGCCGCACUCCCCUCCCGCAGGGCCGGCCGCCCGGGGCCGAAGCGGCCGACGCUCAGACUGCAGAAAGCGGAACAAUCUCCCAGGCCCUGGCGGCAGCAAACGGGAGCCCACUCCGCUCGCCGCCACCUCCUCCCGACCCCCGGACGUCCCCGAAUGAGUUCCCGGCCGCAACCGCAGCUCGGGCCGCGGCGCCUGCGCCAGGGUUGCGCGCUCCGGCUCGGCGCGGCUCCACCUGCGCGUCGCCUUCCCUCGCAGCCCCCGGCCCCUGCCGGGAGAGGUGCGCACCAACCUUGGGGUGCAGCUCGGCCGCCAAGCCACGGCUUAUGCUGAGGCCGGAGGUGGCGGCAUCACCCGCGGCGGGCGGCGGCUGCACCGGGACGCGCCGGGGCGGCGAAGGCGCGCUGCACCCUGGACCCUGCUCCCGCGGCCCCGCCCGCGGCUGCCACCUCGAAGCGCGGCGGAGGAGCCGGGGCACCACGGGCGGCGGCAGCGGCAGCGGCAGCAGCGGCGACGGGAGCAGCAGCACAUGACUCUGUAACGAGGGGAAUUAGACAAAGCGUAACAUGGACUCCGGGCCCGUGCAGGCGCUGCAGCUCUGGGACCAACCGCAGCCGGCGAGUGCCGCGACUGGCCCGGCCGCAGCCAAUGGGGCGGGCCCGGGCCUCCAUGUGAUUGCGAGCGCUUUCUCCGGUGGCCCUGCAGCGCCUGACCGGACGGGGUCUGUGUGGCGAGGGAGGGGACCCGGGGUUGGAGACUGGCGGCGAGCGACUGCUAGAUGCGGAGCAGGUGCUUGGGAGGGGAAGAACGGCAGCCUACAUAACCAUCGCCGUAAUGCUCUCGCAAGCGUCCACCUGGGCAGGGCUCGGUGCCGGGCAGGCGCAGCUGCCAGUUAGCUGCGAGGCAUGGUCAGGAGCCUUCACCCGUCCUGGGCGAAGGAGGCUGUCCCGUCGACUAAAACUCUGAUAUUAAGACUUGGCGCUGGGGGUGGGGAGUUGAAUUACGUUAAAAAGUCACUUAAGUGCCUUCCAACUCUAAGGAGAAGUACUUAUCUGAGCUUUGGGGCACACACAACUACUACUUGGCAUGGAGAGUUUCUCAGCUUCAUGUGUUCCGUCUGUUAUUGAAGCUGUAUUGGAAAGUCGGUUCUUGUUUUUAUCUGAGCCCGCCGUUUUCAUCCCAUUCUUUUCGUCAAAAAUAUGUUACAUCUGAAAGAGGCAGAUGAAAAGAUUAUUCUAUGCUAAGAGGGUUUUGCAGCCCGAUAAUGUCACCGUUUUUUGUUGUUGUUGUUGUAGGAUCGGGGUUCAUUUGCAGUCUUUUUUGUGGGUGAGCAGAGGCAGGGGCCAAUAAAUAAAUUAAGGCGGGAUAUUUGGAGUUAUUUGGUUGUAAUAAAAUAUGUGGUUCAACCCAGUGCUUUCAUAUCUUCUUUUAUCUGAAUCCAUGUGUUUCUGUAAACCAUCGGAAGUCUAAUCUGUCUUCUACCAAUAUCUCUCCAUGUCAGCAAAUGUUCAAUCAACGUUUACCCAGCAUCUAAAUAUUCUUAAUAAGCAUGCUGCACAAAUGUUACAGGUACUCAGGAAGGUGUCGGUUCAGAGACAGUGAGACAUUAAAGAGAAUGAUUGUCCAGGGUUUCAGAAAAGGAUUCAGAGAGGAGCUGAUAGAAUUGACCCUUGGAUGGUGAGCACUUGGCCCUCAGGCAUUGGACGUGAAGAAGAGCAGCCCAAACAGGAACAUGAACAGAGAGGUCCAGAAUACACUCAAGGGACUGCCCGAGACCCGUUACAAGAUGCCACCAGAUUCUGAGCCCUCGGCCCUUUUGCUCUCACUUUCCUUCCCCGACCCUCCUUGCCAGCAGCCACUCCUGUUCCACACACUGCCAAGAAGGAGGUGUAUGGGCAGGGAGUGUGUGUAAGUGAUCUAAUCAGUGUCAGAUUUGCUGAUCUAAGAGAUGAGAGGUCUUUUAAAACUUAACAACUAGUGGUGUGAUAUUUUUAUUGAAAACAGCCCACUAUUAUAAUGAAUAUGGAAUGUUUUGCUGUUUGUAAAAAAAAAAAAAAAUUAUAGGCCGGGUGCAGUGGCUCACGCCUGUAGUCCCGGUACCUUGGGAGGCCGAGGCAAGAGGAUCACGAGGUCAGGAGUUAGAGACCAGCCUGACCAACAUGGUGAAAACCCGUCUCUACUAAAGACACAAAAAUUAUCUGGGCAUGUUGGCACGCACCUGUAAUCCAAGCUACUCAGGAGCCUGAGGCAGGAGAAUCGCUUGAACCUGGGAGGCGGAGGUUGCAGUGAGCUGAGAUGGUGCCACCACACUCCAGCCUGGGCGACAGAGUGAGACUCCAUCUCAAAACCAAAAAACCAAAAAAACCAAUCUUCUGUACUUUGUUCUUUUGAUCUUCCCUGGGUUUUAAAUUGUGAUUCUAGACUUGAAAAACAUGAUUUUAAGAUUGGUAUAAAUCGAGAAAAGAAAAAAGUGAUAUUCAGAAAACAGUCAAAUGUGGAGAAAUAGACACUCACACACUGUAAAAGUAAGAGGAAAUUGGACAAACCCCUUUGGAGGACAAUUUGGAAAUUUUUGAUAAAUAGGUGUGUUCCCUUUGAAUAGGUAAGUCCAUGUCUAAGAGUUUGUGCUUUAAGCAUAUUUGUGCAAAAAUUAUGUCAGAAAUAUUUACACAUGUACAAAAAUAUAUAUAUACGUGUCUUAUUGCAACAUUGUUUGUAAUAGUGGGAACAUGUAAUGGUGUAAAAAUCAAAUAAUAAAGUCCCAGUAGGAAACUGU
rnacentral:lncRNA from 10 species